rnacentral:rRNA from 1 species
CCUACGGGAGGCUGCAGUGGGGAAUAUUGGACAAUGGGGGAAACCCUGAUCCAGCGAAGCCGCGUGAAUGAAUAAGUAUUUCGGUACGUAAAGCUCUAUCAGCAGGAAAGAAAAUGACGGUACCUGACUAAGAAGCCCCGGCUAACUACGGGCCAGCAGCCGCGGUUACACGGAGGGGGCCAGCGUUAUCCGGAUUUACCGGGUGUAAAGGGAGCGUAGACGGCAUCGCAAGUCUGGAGGGAAAUGCCUGGGGCCAACCCCGGACCUGCUCUGGAAACUGUGAAGCUGGAGUGCAGGAGAGGUAAGCGGAAUUCCUGGUGUAGCGGUGAAAUGCGUAGAUAUCAGGAGGAAAACCGGCGGCGAAGGCGGCUUACUGGACUGUAACUGACGUUGAGGCUCGAAGGCGUGGGGAGCAAACAGGAUUAGAUACCCCUGUAGUC